rfam:Schistosoma margrebowiei strain Zambia genome assembly, scaffold: SMRZ_contig0001312
GCACUGCUGAGGAGUCCUGUACUAGGACGAAACGGCCGUCCAGUGC